rnacentral:lncRNA from 1 species
GCCAUAAAACACUGAAGAUGUCCUAAGACUCUAAUGACUUAUAAAUACUCUCCUUUCAUCUGCAGUUCCCUGAAAUCUGUUCAGCUGGAUGUGUGGUUUGGGAGAGAUGAAGUCUCAGGAUUUCUGAAUUCUACUUUAAGAUGGAGAUAAGUCAUAUAAGCUCUCUCUAAGCCUUUUUCCUGGAGAUGUUAGCCAAAAUGCCACCAAAAU